rfam:Pseudomonas taeanensis MS-3 contig_01, whole genome shotgun sequence.
UUCGGCCUCGCUGUAUUUUCUAUGCAGCCCUCUGCAAGCCGUUGUCGCCGCAUUCCUACUCGAAUACUUCGCUACACCAGCAGGCGAUCCAGUCGCCUUGUUUAGCGGCGCGGC